GUAGCAUAAUCAUUAGGGAUUUAAUUGGAACCUGGUAUGAAGGGUUGGACAAAGGAAAAACUGUCUAUAUAAUAUAAAUUGAAAUUUACCUUUAAGUGAAAAGGCUUAAAUAGAUCAAAGGGACGAUAAGACCCUAUAAAGCUUUAUAAAUAAUUUAAAUUUAAUUGGUUUAAUAGAUAAAGGUUGAAUUUGUUUAUUUUAUUUUGUUGGGGUGAUAUGAGUAUAAGUGUUGUUAACUGCUUAAGAAAAAUUCUAUUAUUUGAGAUUUAGGUAAGAUGUAUGAUCCUUUAUAAAGAUUAAAAGACUAAGUUACUUUAGGGAUAACAGCGUUAUUUCUUUUGAGAGUUCAUAUCGAAAAAGAAGAUUGCGACCUCGAUGUUGAAUUAAAAUAUCUAUAUAAUGCAGUCGUUAUAAAAGAGGGUCUGUUCGACCUUUAAAUUUUU
rnacentral:rRNA from 1 species